rnacentral:rRNA from 1 species
CAGGUCACUCCUACGGGAGGCAGCAGUGGGGAAUAUUGGACAAUGGGGGAAACCCUGAUCCAGCAAUGCCGCGUGAGUGAUGAAGGCCUUAGGGUUGUAAAGCUCUUUCGACGGGGACGAUGAUGACGGUACCCGUAGAAGAAGCCCCGGCUAACUUCGUGCCAGCAGCCGCGGUAAGACGAAGGGGGCUAGCGUUGUUCGGAAUUACUGGGCGUAAAGCGCGCGUAGGCGGCUCUUCAAGUCAGGCGUGAAAGCCCCGGGCUUAACCCGGGAAUAGCGCUUGAUACUGUUGGGCUUGAGUCCGGGAGAGGAUAGUGGAAUUCCCAGUGUAGAGGUGAAAUUCGUAGAUAUUGGGAAGAACACCAGUGGCGAAGGCGGCUAUCUGGACCGGAACUGACGCUGAGGCGCGAAAGCGUGGGGAGCAAACAGGAUUAGAUACCCUGGUAGUCCACGCCGUAAACGAUGAGUGCUAGACGUUGGAGAGCUUGCUCUUCAGUGUCGUAGCUAACGCGAUAAGCACUCCGCCUGGGGAGUACAGUCGCAAGGCUGAAACUCAAAGGAAUUGACG